rnacentral:rRNA from 1 species
UACAGAGGAUGCAAGCGUUAUCCGGAAUGAUUGGGCGUAAAGCGUCCGCAGGUGGCUAUGUAAGUCUGCUGUUAAAGAGUGAGGCUCAACCUCAUAAGAGCAGUGGAAACUACAUGGCUAGAGUGCGUUCGGGGCAGAGGGAAUUCCUGGUGUAGCGGUGAAAUGCGUAGAGAUCAGGAAGAACACCGGUGGCGAAAGCGCUCUGCUAGGCCGCAACUGACACUGAGGGACGAAAGCUAGGGGAGCGAAUGGG